UCGGCCGCGGGUGAUGGAUCUCGCCCGGGCCGCGCCGGCCCGAACCGCCGACAAGGCUGAUGGCUCCUGUUCCGAU
rnacentral:ncRNA from 2 species